rnacentral:rRNA from 1 species
UGGUUAAGCUAUAAAGAGCGCAGGGUGGAUGCCUUGGCACUAAGAGCCGAUGAAAGACGUGAUAAGCUGCGAAAAGCUUCGGGGAGGAGCAAAUAUCCUUUGAUCCGG